rnacentral:rRNA from 1 species
GACGGAGGAUGCGAAGUGUUAUCCGGAAUCACUGGGCGUAAAGCGUCUGUAGGUGGUUUAAAAAGUCCACUGUUAAAAAUUGAAGCUUAACUUCAAAAGAUGCCGUGGAAACUUUUAAACUUGAGUAUGGUAGGGGUAGAGGGAAUUUCCAGUGGAGCGGUGAAAUGCGUAGAUAUUGGAAAGACCACCAAUGGCGAAGGCACUCUACUGGGCCAUUACUGACACUGAGAGACGAAAGCUAGGGGAGCAAAUGGG